UACGGGGGGAGCAAGCGUUGUUCGGAUUUACUGGGCGUAAAGGGCUCGUAGGCGGCCAACUAAGUCGGACGUGAAAUCCCCAGGCUCAACCUGGGAACUGCGUCCGAUACUGGAUGGCUUGAAUCCGGGAGAGGGAUGCAGAAUUCCAGGUGUAGCGGUGAAAUGCGUAGAUAUCUAGAGGAAUACCGGUGGCGAAGGCGGCAUCCUGGACCGGCAUUGACGCUGAGGAGCGAAAGCCAGGGGAGCAAACGGG
rnacentral:rRNA from 1 species